rnacentral:lncRNA from 12 species
AGGGUUUUGACUUGUCUGCUGAAAUUAUAUUUUUAAAAUAUUUUUUACAUUCCCCAAAGGUUGUUUUGUAUUUAAUAUUGCAAUUGAUUUAGGUGUUGGUUUAAUUGCUUGUUUGAUUUUAGAUAAUCUACCUCCUCCAUCAUUUAUUUUUCACUUAGAGAUCUGCUUACUCUUCUUUUUGGUUGCAGGAUCCCAUAAGUGAACAAGAACUUGCUACCACUUCCUCAUGAGUUUAUCCCCCUUGUAACCGGAAGCUAAAGAGUCAAGAUGUCUCAAUGUAUGAAAAUUUUGCCCUCAGAAAUGGAGACCAAAAACUUAGAAUUAUUUCAGUGGAAAAAACAGAAGACCAAAAGGUGAAAUUUGCUUGGAGUGUCAUUUUGUCACCAGAGGUUAUAACAAAGAACUUCCCAGAGCUCCAGAAGACUUCCUUUCAUUGAAUUAACGAUGAACAAGCCCAACGCCGCCUUUUCAAAUGAGUGACUCUGUAGUUAGUUGCUUUACAAUAAGGCUCUUCACCUAGAGGAGGGACAGACAUAGAAUUUACUAAGGGCUGUUAGGAAAAGGUAAACAAAUUCAGAGUUCUGCUCCGUAUAUCUGUCAUCUUAGAUUUGGAGGAUGCUCUAAGUAUUUCUUUACAGACAAACUUUGUCAUAGAUUGUAGC